AAACAAGAUUUCCUAUGUCAUAAAAUUACAGCCACAGAAGUUCUGGCGUUGCAGUUUUGAUUGAUAUCCCAUCUUACUCCCUUUACAAUUCAUGUAGGCUCUGGAAUGUUUAUAUUACAGAGAAUGCUCCUUAAGAUUCAACUUUAGUAUGAGAUGUGAGUGGACUCUCUAAACUUCCUCAAGCCCCCUGUUCCACUGGACUCCAUAAACCCAACCAAGGCUUGGGACGAGGAUCCAAGUCGUUCUGACUUUCUGUUACAGCCUGGAAGAAAUACAGACGGGCACCCACAGAGGUUAACCAGCACUUCUACCUGUAAGAGAAGCGAUGUGUAACUGCCUGUCCAACCUGCAGAUAUUGUGUGUUACAGCUGACAUCAGUUGUCAUGGUUUCAAAAAUGGAACAUGUUCUGCUAAACUUCAUCUUGGGUUCCUUUCAUGGAAUUUUUCAACUUCCUGCAUGUCUGCACAGCCUGGAGAAGAGGAGGCUGAGGGAAGGUCUUAUUGCUUGCUAGAACCACCUGAAAGGAGGUUGUAGUGAGGUCACUUCUUCAUGUGUAUGGAUACCUGAGCCAUGCAUAGACCUAAAGCCUUCUACUCACCCUGUUAUGUACUCCAAGGAGAUAUCAGCCUCCAAAAUGCUCUGUGGCCACUAAAUAAAUUCUUUGGAGCCACUGCCAUUUGGAGUGUAAGUGUCCUGAAGUAGCUGUGUUUAUGCAAAAAGAGCAGGAUGGAGAUCUUAAAAUCAUAGGAGUGUAUGCACCAAUUUAGAACCAGCUGAAGAAGUGGAGGAGAGACGCUGCUUCUCUAACUUCAUGGUUAUUUCUUCUAAAACAGAGUAAUAAAAGCUCAAUGGGAAGUAAAAACACUUAUAAAUGCCUUCUUGACUUCACCAAAAACUAUAAUCAGGAGCAUUCAACAGCUUAAAAUUUCCUUGCCUGCUAUCUCCAGUUUCUUUGAGGAGCUGACUACAUUGCAGCAAUAAAUUUCACCAGCUGGAUAGUGAAAAAAAUGGAGAAUUUCUCCACCUCAAAAAUACAAAUAUGCACAGUUGUGCCACACAGGCAAGGCAAUAGGAAGGAACACAAAUACUCAUACUUCAUAUUCCUGUACACCUAAAUAUAUCAUAGCUUUCCUACAAAAAUCUUUCACAGACAGAAUCGGUUUAUCUAUUACAGUGACAGCACAGUAAAAAAUACUGGCUGUAGGCUGCCAUCUGCCGGUUUUUGUAAUGAAAGGUCACUUGUGAGCAGAUUUUAUCACAGACAAAUUCUCUCCCAUGUCGGGCUAGAGGCAUUCCAUCCCCACCAGUGGUAGCUGUUGAAGUUUCUGGAAGCCAGUGAGUUUUCUGAACCUGACUUAUUGGUCCCCAGAACUCUUGAAAAAGACACAGUUUUGCACAGGUAUUGAUAAUUUAAAAUGAAUAUGCUUUGAUGCCUAUUGUCAGGUUAGGAAUCUUUCAACCACACAAAUACACACACACAUGCAAUCCCUAUUGAAGCCAUGCUAAUAGUCAAAGUCCAAUUUUUGUGGAACUUUGUGUCAUGUGUAUAACUUGCACCUUGUUUUCUUGCAGUACGGUUAUAGUUUUAUAUUCACUAGCUGGCAUGCCCUGGAGCUUCUCCUUCUGUUUUCCUGAGCUCUUAAAAUGAUUUAAUGACUUAUUACUGCUCAGAACGCAAACAUUUUAUGGGGGUCAAAUGCAGCAUGUAGAUUAAAUGGACUUGUGUUCAUGAAGAGAUAUUGGUUCCAUUGUCUAGCUGGCAUUUACGGUAACGUGCAAGAUAAAUGCUCAUAGAAAGCUCUAGAAAUAUUAUUUGAUUGUAUCAAUCAGAAUUUUUUCAUUGACUUCAGUGAGUUCAGGAUUUCAACUUUAAUAUCUUUAUCCUGGUGCAUGAAUUCCUAACCUUGCAAAGAGCUCCAAGUGUGCAGUCUCAGAAUGCAGAUAGUGCUGUUAGUUUUGCAAUGGAAAGUGAAGGACAUAAAAUUCUCUCCGUAUUAAUCAUAUUCUCAGAAAAAGAGUCUAGUGAUCAUUGCAAUUUGUAGUGUGUACCUGUUUCAGUAUGUAGUUAUCGUUUCAGAAAUAGAAAUAUUAAUAUAUCAGUUCAUCAUCUGAAUUGAAUAUUUAAAUUCUUCAUUCAUCAGUUUUUUAAAAGUUUCAGUCUCUCUUACAAGAAAAUCUAAACUUUCUUUGUUCCAAAAAAAAUACACAGCAAGCUGACUGCCUAAUGAGCCAAAAGCACAGUUAAUUUUGCAGUAUAUAUCUCAUUCAUGAUGCUGUAAUCAAGAGGAUAUUGUCAAGUUUAACAAACCUCAUACUGACUUACUUUUAUGUUCUCUAAAGCCUUUUGCAUAUAAUCCUUUCUGGUGUGAAAGGGACUGUCUUUGUUUGCUUGUGUAUUUUAAUGGAACUUAGCGGAAAGCAGAGAAAUCUGUGGUGUUAUAUAUGUUUAUGCAUUCAUAAGUACAUGGUUGUAUUUUCAUGCACAUAUUUUACAAUUUCUGAGAGAAAGAGAAUAGGAGCUUCAGAUGAAGUUUUUGGAAGCUAAGAGCAUUGUAAAAUUUGCACGGCUUGCUUUUUGCACCAAAUAAGAGUCUUCCAUAACUAAAGCAAAAUUUGUUGGAGCCACCUUCUUCAUUCUAUUGUCUCUCCUUAAAAACAUUGAAUCUGUUAAAAUUUCAUAUGACAAUUCUCAAUUGUUUGACCUGACAGGAACUUCACAAAGUUCAGUAAAAAGACAAAUUCAGAGUCCUGCACAUGAGACAGGAUAACCCAAUGCAGCAGGGCAGGUUGGGGCCCAGCUGGCCAGAGAGCAAAUUGAUAGGAAAGGACCCAGAGAUUCUGGUGGAGGGUUUGGACAUGAGUCACCAAGGCACCUUUGCAGCAACCCAAAGUAUCCUGGAUUACAUUAGCAGAUAGUUAAACCAGCAGGUGGAGGAAAGAGAUGAUGUUCAGGAUUUGUGAGACCACAUCUCAAGUGUUGAGUCCAGUUUUGGGCUUCAAAGUAGAAGACAGACACUGACAUACUGGAACAACUGUAGUCAAUGCCACCAAGUGGGUUUAGGGCUGGAUAACAUGUUUUACAAGGAGAUCAUAUGAGGUCUGUGCCUCGUGAGCAUGGAGAAGCAAAAGCAUUGGUGGGAUGAUCUUACUGAUAAAAACACACUAGAUAGGAAGGUAAAGAGAAAGUGGAGUCAGAUUUUUCUUGAAGGUGCAAGGUUAUAGAAUGAGAGGCACCAAGCACAAACUAGAACACAAAAAAAAAAAACCUGAAUAGCCAUUAAAAUAGUUUUUAACUAUGGGGGUGGUCAAACACUGGCACAGGUUGUCUCAAGAGGCUCCAUCCUUUGAAAUAUUCAAAAAACAACUGGACAUGGGUCUGAGCAAACCCUGACUCUGAUUUGAGCAGGGGAGUUUGAUGAGACACUUCCAGAAGGGGCCUUCUGUGCUUCCUUGGGUUUCUGAAGACUUUUGUUGUUCACAGAACAGUAACAACAUGAUACAGAAAUUCUCUAUUGGCUCUCAGGCACUUCAGCAGCUAAAGAAGAAACAGCACAUGACACUAGAUCAGAACAUUUACUAGGAGCUGUCAAAUCCAUCAGUUCUCUGUGCAUGCAAGACAAAAUUCCUACCAAUGAACUUUUAUGAAAUUUUUGCUUCUAUUUUGUGUGUUGGGAAAGCAGCUACCUUUCUGGUAUUUAAAUGCUGCUGUUUAACAUCAUCUGUAAAUGGCUUUGCCAGCCUAAUAGCACAGCAAAAAUAUGAGCUGCCACAUUAGCAGAAAACAUGGUAUUUUCCAGUUAGCAGAAAGCAAUUAAGAAACUCCUGUGUCACUCCAAUAGGAGUGAUCUGUUGUUAAUCAGACAUAAAUAUCACUUUAAAGAGAUAAACAGACAAGUCAUUUCUAAGCCAAACACACCUAUUAACAAAUCUAGGGGCAUGUUUUUUAAAAAACAGUAGCUCUCACUGAGUCUGAUCUGUCCUGCAAGUAGGCUGGCCUAAAAUGCCUUCUCCUUUUCCUGAUCCAUGAAGACAUAGGCAAAGGAACCUUUUACACCCUACUGAGUUAUUUCCUCUCAGUCUGUGAGAGAGGAGAGUAUAAGGGGCAUCAUGAGGACUUUAAUCUUCAAAGAAAAAAGGUUGCAAAUGAUGAUUUUAAAUAUCUAUUCUCUUCUGUCGAGUCUGGCAUCUCCGGUGAUGCUCUUCUCAGUAGGCUAACACAGAUUUUAGGAUGAAUUCUGUUGGAAAAAUUCAUAGAUUACAGAUAUUGAUAGAGAAUUUUUUUAUUACACUUUCUAGAAUGCAAAAUUAAAGGUUAUAAUUUAACAUCAGUUGCCAACUGAGAAGAACAUAUGAAACUGUGUAUCAAUGUCUGUAACUGGCACAGGUAAUGACAGCACCAUGAAUAAUGUAUGAGUGACAGUGAUUGCUAAUCAUAUUUGGAGAUGUAGCUCUGAGUUAAUUUGGUCUGAUAUUGGAGAAAAGCAACAAAGUUUAUGGCGCAUGAAGUAAUGCAAUUUCUUGUUACAUAUACAGGAUUCUAAGGGUAUUAAGAGUGUUUUCUGCACGUCUUUAUCUGUAAAAGAAAUGUUAACUUCUCUGGGAAAAAUACAGUACUUGGAACUUACAUUUGGAAUAUUUCUUAUUGAAGAAAUAGCAUGCAUAGUAAAUACAGAUUCUUAUCUCAGGCAAAUCUUCUGUCUUUAUUUCAGAAAUUCUGAGUUCUGCCUUGAUUGUUGACUAUCUUCUCAAGUAACUAUAACAAAUAUUUGUUUUCUAUGUAUACAUACAAAGAAAACAGAAUCAUUACUUCAAAUUUAUUGUAAGGAUUUCAAUUUCAGAGUACUGAUCUCUCAGCUUUUACGGUCACCAACUCUUAGUCCUGGAAGAAGAAGAACAACAACAACUAAAAAGCAAACCCCAAAAUACCUAGAGAUGAAAGCAUCAAGGCAGCACAUAAUAAAACUGGUGAUUUUCCAAGCUCUCUCAUUGCUUCCCUCUGUGUGAGCAAGGUGUCUGGUAGCAAACACUACUUUGAUCUCAUGAGUGAGAGUGUGUUCUCCAUAAAUCAUGAUGGCAAGAAUGAAAAGAAAGCAACACAUUCCUUUGAUGCUUUGCCAAGCGCAGUUGCUGGACUGGGUGUUUAUAAAAGUAACUCUCUAAACACAGUGAGUUACAGUUCCCCAGCUUUUGGAUUAGGAGCCCUGUUGAACAUUGCUGUGUUAACAUGUUAUUCUCAUGCCCGCAACACGUGGUAACUUGCCUGUUUUAUGGGAUGAGAGCACAUUUGAUUGGAAUGUUUUGAAUGGCUCUAUGCUUUGACACUUCCUUAUUUCUCUGAUGCCCUUUUUCAUGGGUAUAGAAUCAUAGAAUCAUAGAGUCAUAGAACAGUUUGGGUUGGAAGGGACCUCAGCAAUCAUCCAGUUCUGAACCUCCUGCCAUGAGCAAGGACACCCUCCGCUGGAUCAGGUUGCUCAAUGCCUCAUCCAAUCUGGCUUUGAACACCUCCAGUGAUGGGGCAUCCAUGACUUCUCUGGGCAACCUGUGCCUCACCACCCUCACAGGAGAAAAUUUCUUCCUGAUAUCUAAUCUAAAUAUUCCCUCAUCUGUUUCCCCUCAUCCUACCCCUGCAAUCCCUGAUAAAGAUCCCCUUCCCAUCUUUCCUGGAGGUCCCCUUUAAGUAAUAGAAGGCUGAUAUAAGGUCUCCCUGGAGCCUUCUCUUCUCUAGGCUGAACGAUCCCAUCUCUCUCAGCCUUUCUUCAUGAAGAAGGUGCUCCAGCCCCCUCAUCAUCUUCUGUAGGUGUCCUGUGUAGAUCCUGUUCUCACCUUGAGUUUACUUCUCUAGUGCUAUAUAGCUCCUCUGCACCUUGCAGUUUCCUUAGCUGGGAAAAAAAAUAAGUGCCAGCAAUGCUGCAGGAAGCUUGUUGCCAGGGCAGAAGCACAACUGUUUCUUUUUAUCAUGAGGAACCGAGACAGCAUUUUAUGUGUUCACUGUAUUAAGAGCAAGGUGAGACAAUUACUUCAAAAAGCAGAAAGAGAAAGAAUGGUUCUGGAGGUGUAUGACAGAAUGAACACUAUGCAUAAAGGCCACAGACAUGUGACGCAUCUGGUAAAAAACAGAAGUUAUUUGAUUCUAGGACAAAACAAAUACCUUGAUAUUUAACUAAGACAAAAAGCAAAGAAUGAGAAAAAGGGGGGGGAAAUAAAAGAGAGACAAAAUACAACAACUGGAGCUUCAGCAUUACUACUAUGAUAUUUUGUCAGAAGCACAACAGUAAAUAAAGAAACUGGCAGAUUUUCAAGGGUGCCUAAUACCAAGGUUUCUUGGCUCUAAAUGUUUCUAGGAGAAGCACAAAUCUUAGGCGCUUCAAAGGUAAUGUAACACAGAAGAAUAAGACAUGGAUGCAUGAUUUCAAAAAGGAAAGUCAGACAACUCAUUUAAAAGCAAGGAGGAAAAGGAAGGAGGAAAAAAAUCCCACCAAGCAAUGCUUUUAUGUGAACUGGCUUUCACAGCUAACCUGAACUUUUCUUCCUCUCCCUAUAGUAAUUUCUCAGUCAAGCACCUAACUUCUGCCCCUUUGCUGACUACUCUGUAGUACUGUUUGGCCUCUUUUAACAUUCACUCUUCACACAGUUGAUGCAAAAAUUAUCUACCUGCCUGUCUAUCUAUACAUACAUGUCAACACACAGAUAUAGAGUCAACAUCCUUGCCCUUUGGUCUGAACUCACCUCUGAAUUCCCUUGCCAUAGUCUGCCACCUACAGUUCAACUCACUAGCCUUUCUUCUCACUCUCAUGCAUGAGGCUGACUUCUUUUCCCUCUUCCGCUAUGCCUUCCCCAUCAGAGAUGAUCAAUCAGUGAUGAUCUCUCAGCUACAUAAAUCUUUGUAGCUAAGAUCUCUGCACAUUGAUUUAUCCUCUUGAGGACAACACCAAU